rnacentral:rRNA from 1 species
CCUACGGGAGGCAGCAGUGGGGAAUUUUCCGCAAUGGGCGAAAGCCUGACGGAGCAAUACCGCGUGAGGGAGGAAGGCUCUUGGGUUGUAAACCUCUUUUUUCAGGGAAGAUAAUGACGGUACCUGAGGAAUAAGCAUCGGCUAACUCCGUGCCAGCAGCCGCGGUAAUACGGAGGAUGCAAGCGUUAUCCGGAAUGAUUGGGCGUAAAGCGUCCGCAGGUGGUUUUAAAAGUCUGUUGUUAAAGCGUGAGGCUUAACCUCAUAAGGGCAAUGGAAACUGUAAGACUAGAGUACGUUCGGGGCAAGGGGAAUUCCCAGUGUAGCGGUGAAAUGCGUAGAGAUUGGGAAGAACACCGGUGGCGAAAGCGCCUUGCUAGGCCGUAACUGACACUGAGGGACGAAAGCUAGGGGAGCGAAUGGGAUUAGAUACCCCAGUAGUCCUAGCCGUAAACGAUGGAUACUAGGCGUUGUCUGUAUCGACCCGGACAGUGCCGUAGCUAACGCGUUAAGUAUCCCGCCUGGGGAGUACGCACGCAAGUGUGAAACUCAAAGUAGUAUACGGACGUGAGAGAGCGACGACGACGACGACGAGGAGAG